GCACGCCGGCACAGGUGUGCAACAAAUGGGGUGUAAGUCCCCUGACUCUAAUUUGUCUAUUUCGGGAGUCUAGCAGGAGGUUGGAUUUGUGGGGUGAUUCACAGGUUUAAGUUACCUUUAAAUGCAUCUGCAAAAUAGCGGGCUGCAACAAAAGUGAACCUAAAUUAGCCUCGUUAAGCCGUUUAAGCGCAUUUGCCGACUAUCUAGUGGCUACAGGAAGGCUGAUAGUAGGAUGGAAAAAAUAGACCAUGACCAUCAUACAAGUGCCGGGGUGUUAGGGGUUGCACGCUAUGAAUGUUUCACAUCGUAGUCCGGGAGAUCUGAUAUGAAUCCAGUAGGCCACUGGAAACUUUAUUGUAUAAGUAAAGCGAAAUCAAUAAGGGUGAUAUCAGAAGUCCGCGGGGUCUAUAAUACCGUUCGUAUUGAUUGGGAAACCACUCAAGAGGAAAGGGACCCUACUUCAGUUAACGAGUUUAAAAGAGUUGAGAAUGUCUGAUUGCCCUAAAGCUAUGAACGGAACAUUAAAAGUUCAGCAACUCCAAAGAACUCUAUAUCUCAAAUCCAAGCAAUGUAAGGAAGUCAGAUUUUAUAGUAUAUAUGAUAAAAUUUAUCUAAAAGAUGUACUUUGGGAAGCUUGGCGUCAAGUCAAAGCAAAUCAAGGUUCAGCAGGGAUUGAUGGUAAAAGCAUAAGUGAUAUAAUAGAUCAAGGUGAGGCAAAGAUUAUCAAUAAAUUGCAGCAGCAACUACGCGCAAAGCUAUACAAAUUUACCUCAAGCAGGUUGGUAGAAAUACCCAAAGCUAAAGGUGGAACAAGGCCACUAGAGGUAAUGACCGUAGAAGAUCUCAUAGUGCUCACAGCAAUGAAAAUAGUCAUUGAACCGAUCUUCGAAGCUGAUUUUCAUGAAUGUUCAUACGGCUAUAGACCGAAACGAGGAGCCAAACAAGCGAGUUUAGUGAUCCGAGAAGAUCUAUACCAGCAGGCAUGGGGCGUAGUUGAGAUUGAUUUUCAAUCAUACUUUAUUAGCAUCCCACAUGAAAAGUUAUUAAAACUUAUUAGUAAAAGGAUAGCAGAUGGCAGUAUGUUGAAGCUAAUUAAACAAACCCUAACAACGUCAAUAGUAAAACAAGGUAAAAUUACAUGCAAGAAAGUUGGAGUACCGCAAGGAUCACCAAUAUCACCGUUGUAUAGUAAUAUCUACCUAAAUGUUAUAGACCAAGUGUGGCACUCAAGGGGGUAUCCAGAAAAGCUAAGCGCAACCUUGCAUAGGUAUUGUGAUGAUGCAAUUUUGGUAUGUCGUAAGAGUGCUAGCUUAGCGCUGGAGAAAUUCACAGAAUUAGUAAGGAGGUUAUCGCUCAUUAUUAACCACCAAAAGACACGAAUAACGAAACUGAAAGAAGGCUUUAACUUCAUAGGUUUUUACUUUGUAAAAAGAAAGAGUCCAACAAGUGGCAGAAAUAGCAUUUAUGUAUUUCCAACGAAACAAUCCCAACAAAGCAUCCGUAACAGACUAAAAUACCUGACUUGUAGAAGAGCACCAAUCAAACCUCAAGCAUUCAUCGAGCAAAUAAAACCAGUAGUGUUAGGAUGGGUUAACUAUUUUAAACAUACGAAUGCGAGUGAAGCUUUUGUUAGAUUGCAGGACUUUAUUAAUAACCGAUUUCGCAGAUACUUAACCCAUAGAAGAAAAGGCCGUGGAUGUGGGUGGCAAAGCUGUCCCAAUAGCAAACUCUAUACAAUGGGGAUGUUGUACAUUGGUAGUGGAAUGAUUAAGUAUCCUGAGAGAGUUGUGCAAGGUUUAUGAAGAAGACUGUCGGACCGCCGUAUUCGGGAAAACUGAACGUACCUUGGGAUGAGAAGGGAAUGGGUAAACAAUGAAGAAUCAAGUUAGUCAGCUACUGUAUUGCGAGCAAUCAGAAGCAAUAGAUAUGCUUAAUUUUAAGUGGUCCAACCAUUUCUUUACUCUAG
rnacentral:autocatalytically_spliced_intron from 1 species